CUGAAUUUAACUCGUCUAAGGCGUACCCGAACCUGAAGCUUCACUGAAAGGGUGAAAUAGGAGUGAGUACGGUCCAUUUGUACUCAGUAGGUAUCAUAGGCCGAUUAAGCAUAGUAGAAAAUAAUGCAUACAAUAUACACACUAAGUUCACAUCAUCUUCAAUCAGAAAAUGUCCCACAAUGGUAUCCUACACCACUUGCACUAAUAGUUCUAGUAUAUCACAUAUAUUGCAA
rnacentral:lncRNA from 1 species